UUUGGCGUGUAUGGGCAUGUUGGAUCCCUGCUCGGGCAGCGACGACAUCUCCUCCACGUCUCUUCAAUUUUUGGCGCGAGCGUUUGCUCGGCCGACGUCGGUUUCCUGUGUUGAAUACCUAUUGCGAUGGCAUUGUGUCGGCUACGUUUGUCCCUUCCCACCUUGUUCCGCUGCUCCACGUGGGCGUGCGGUGCGGGGCGGGCCAAAUCGCACGCGUCGUGUGUCGCACCGUGUUCGUCCCUUGGGGCGUUCGGGUUGUCCACCCACGACGUGUUGCUCGGUCUCUCGGGUACGGUGCAUCAUGUGGGUACGAGGCCGUCGGCCUCCGAGCACCACAAUCAAGCGUUCUACGCUUCGUGCGAACGACCGUCGGUUCGGUCUUUGGCCGUGCUCUCGUAGCUCGGUUCAAGUCGGGCCGGCGUCCAUGAAGAAUG
rnacentral:misc_RNA from 1 species